rnacentral:lncRNA from 1 species
CUUAGCGGGCUAACAAAUUCCGGAACCAAAAUUCGGGUCGUUACAAUCGUUUUCUUUCUUCUACGAUUGAGAUUCAUGCGAAAGAUUAAGCAUUUUCUGUUCUUGUGAACAUGGCGCAGUAUUGUUCAUAAAAUCUUCUACUUUUUUCUCAGUGACCAUGGAUGAUCCUGCAUGUCCUUCUUCUUCUUCUUCUUCCGAUGAUGAUACUACUGCCCCUGGGUUUGUGACGUCUUUGAAUCUUUAACACACAAUCUCUUUACUUUAUGUAUUGUAUCUCUACGUUUUUUGACAGAUUCUUCCCUCUCUCUUUAGGUAUUCUGAUUAGAAAAAAUGCCAAAGAAGUCUCUGACCGAUGUAAUGUCCACCUACUCUACCACAUUAAUUAUCCUAAAUUGAUCAUCACUCAGCUCUCUUUUUUUAUUCGUCCCUUGCAGGUGCUAAAAGGCGAAAAUGUUGAACUGCGGUCUAGCUUUAUACCUUGUGGUCCGGUUCAAUGUAGAUGUAAAGGACGGGUUUUUUAAUAGGUUUUGGCUUUAGGAACAAAAAUAAAGAGUAGAUGUAUAUGAGAUUUCAUUGACUAUUGACGUUGUCACUUUCUGGUUAGUUUUUGAUGUUAAGUAGGUUUCUCGAUGUUAAUAGAUGUUUUUGCAAGUCAUACUGAG